AGCAGUAGCCGCGGUAAUACGAAGGGUGCAAGCGUUAAUCGGAAUUACUGGGCGUAAAGCGUGCGUAGGCGGUGAGUUAAGUCUGCUGUGAAAUCCCCGGGCUCAACCUGGGAAUGGCAGUGGAUACUAGCUCGCUAGAGUGUGUCAGAGGAUGGUGGAAUUCCCGGUGUAGCGGUGAAAUGCGUAGAGAUCUGGAGGAACAUCAGUGGCGAAGGCGGCCAUCUGGGACAACACUGACGCUGAGGCACGAAAGCGUGGGGAGCAAACAGGAUUAGAUACCCCAGUAGUCCCUGUCUCUUAUAC
rnacentral:rRNA from 1 species